CACAAUCUAGAUGGACAACACGUGCUACGAGUUCAUGUGCCUUUCUUUUCCUCAACGAUAAACAUCAUUCCUACUUCCUCUUCCACCUCUUCAUUUGCCUCAAAGACUGACCUCCAUCCACUCACCCAAAGGUCAAAAUCUACACUUUUCCAAUAGCUUCAGAGAGAUUGCUGUGAAACCCACCGACCUCGAAUUGAAUUCCUUGGUUACUUGCAGCUAUCUCUAGAAAGGACUCCAUGAGUGGACAUGGUAGUGAGAUACCAGAAUUGUCUUGAGCAGACAAUGUUUGGAGCUUUGUUUUGCUUGUGAAGUGUGUGCUGGACCUUGCUUUUCUUGUUUAAAUGAUUGCUCCCUGGUGCUGGUUGUUCCUCAUUCCAGAAUUUUGUUCUUUUUGUGUUUGCAAUGUACAUAUGUUGUAAAUGACUGAAGUGUUAAUCUGGAGCAUUCUUUUGUAAUGGAAAACUUUGUAAGCAAGUUGCUCUUUUGAGCUUUUAAAAAGGAAUUACUUUUCUCUCA